UCAUCCUCAUCCUAAUCCUCUUCCUCAUCCUCGUUCUUGAGGAUGAGGAAGAGGAUGAGAUAGGAUGACGAUGA
rnacentral:pre_miRNA from 1 species